rfam:Parcubacteria (Moranbacteria) bacterium GW2011_GWA2_39_41 TT50_C0014, whole genome shotgun sequence.
GAGCGGUAAUACUAAUGCAUAUGGCGGAUGCCUUGACAUUAAAAAGCGAUGAAGGACGUAGCUGGCUGCGAUAAGCUUCGGGGAAGUGCUAAGCAACUUUUGAUCCGGAGAUUUCCGAAUGGGAUAACCCCCUCUUUUAGAGGAUCCAUAACUGAAUACAUAGGUUAUGGAAGCGCACCCUGGGAACUGAAACAUCUUAGUACCAGGAGGAAUAUAAAUCAAUUGAGAUUCCGUGAGUAGUGGCGAGCGAAAACGGAAAAGUCUAAACCGAAUCCUUCGGGGUUCGGGGUUGCGAGGUAAUUUUACUCUUUUAAUAGGGGUUUGAGAUUAUUUCUUUAGCAGAACACUCUGGAAAGAGUGACCAUAGUGGGUGAUAGUCCCUUAUGCGAAAAAGAAAUGUCCGGAUGUAAUUAUUCUCAAGUAGGGCGGGACCGGAGAAAUCCCGUUUGAAUCAGGGGCCACUAUAGCUCCAAGACUAAAUAUUUUUAAUGAUCGAUAGUGAACUAGUACCGUGAGGGAAAGGUGAAAAGUAUCCCGAUAAGGGAGAUGAAAUAGUAUCUGAAACCAUAUGCUAACAAAGAGUCAGAGUCGUUCGUAUCACAUUGCAUGUGAUACUUACUACUGCGAAUCGUUGCGAAUUUUAGCGAAUGUAUCCGAAUAUAUAAAAAAUAUUCGCAUUCAUUAGUUUUUCAUUCGCAAUAUUUGCAUUAGGGAGUUAUCGCGCGUAGCGUGAUACGACCGAUGAUGGCGUGCUUUUUGUAGAACGAACCAACGAGUUAAUUCUGUAUUGUCUGACUAAGCUACUUUCGUAGUGGAGUCAUAGUGAAAGCGAGCCUUAACGGGCGACAUGAUAGUGCGGAUUAGACCCGAAGCCAGGUGAGCUAUUUAUGAGCAGGGUGAAUUUCGAGUAAAAUCGAAAGGAGGCCCGAACCCACGAGCCGUGCAACACUCGGGGAUGACUUGUGAAUAGAGGAGAAAUUCCAAUCGAACUUGGCGAUAGCUGGUUCUUCCCGAAAUAGCUUGAGGGCUAGCGUCCUUUAAAUGAGCACAAGAGGUAGAGAUACUGAAUGAGAAUCCGCGGUUCGCCGUAGGCUUCUCAACCAAACUCCGAAUUCUUGUGUUUCUUAUCUGGGCAGUCAGAACUCCGGGGCUAAGCUCGGAGCUCAAAACGGAAACAGCCGAGAUCGCAAUCUAAGGUCCCUAAAUUCAUAUUAAGUGGUAAAGGAGGUGAAGUUUCUUAUACACCUAGAAGGUUGGCUUAGAAGCAGCCAUCCUUUAAAGAGUGCGUAACAGCUCACUAGUCUAGAGACUUCGCGCCGAAAAUUCAACGGGGCUAAAUAUGAUACCGAAGAUGCGGAACGCUCGUAUCACAUUGCAUGUGAUACUCGCUAAUGCGAAUACUCGCGAAUUUUAGCGAAUGCAUUCGAAUACAAAAAAAAUAUUCGCAUCCAUUCGUUUUACAUUUGCAAUAAUUAGCAUUAACGAAGUAUCGCGCGUAGCGUGAUACGAGUGUUGGUAGGGAAGUGUUCCAUGCGCACUGAAGCGGAAGGCGUGAGCCACCGUGGAGUGCAUGGAAGUAAGAAUGUUGGUAUUAGUAACCGCAAUUGGGGUGAGAUCCCCCGACACCGAAAGUCUAAGGUUUCCUGGGCAAUGUUGAUCAACCCAGGGUCAGUCGGUCCUAAGGCGAGGUCGAAAGACGUAGUCGAUGGACACAAGGUUAAUAUUCCUUGACUAUUUAAUGUCACGGUAUGGGAGGACGCAAUCUUGUACAUUUUGCAUCUUAUUGGAUUGAUGUAGACAUAGUGAGGGUGCUUUUCAGGUAAAUCCGGAAGGUAUAGCCCGAGUUAUGGCUGGAGGUUUCUCUUCGGAGAGACUAACAAAAUGGAGCAGGUUGUCUAGAAAAGUCUCUAAACUUAUCAUUAAAUAUCCGUACUAAAACCGACACAGGUAGACUGGGCGAGUAGCCUAAGGUGAACGAGUGAUCCUCCGUUAAGGAACUCGGCAAAAAAGCUAGACGUAAGUUCGCAAAAUGUCUCGCCUAUAUCGCAAGGUAUAGGCCGCAGCGAAAGUUUCCCAAGCAACUGUUUACCAAAAACACAGGUCUCUGCAAACCCGCAAGGGGAAGUAUAGGGGCUGACGCCUGACCAGUGCUGGAACGUUAACGGGAGCGGUGCAAGCCAAUCCCCGAAGCGCCAGUGAACGUCGGCGAUAACUAUGAAUAAUAAAAAGGUUAUGAUAAUACCGUGGGAAGUCUCCCGAGCAAUCGGGAUGACCCCGUAACGACUGAAGCGAAAGCUGAGACUCGUCUUUAAUACAGAUGGGUAAUACGCCGGCUCUUAUUUAGUAAAAGAAACAUAUGGAUUUUGCGUCAUAUAUCUCUGGUUUUUCCGAUGGUGAGGGGUGCUUUUCAGUAUCAUUCAACUUUCGAGAAAAACUUAAAACCAAAAUUGAGGUUCGUCCGAGUUUUGCAAUCGGACAAAAUAAGCGUAGUUUGGAUUUAUUACAGCAGAUUCAAAAAUUUUUUGACUGCGGAAAUAUUCGUUUUUCAAAAACGGAUCAAAUCUAUAAAUAUGAAGUGCGCAAUAUAGAUGAACUUAGAAAAAAAGUUAUCCCUCAUUUUGAAAAGUUUCCUUUGAUGACUGCAAAGCUUAAUGAUUUCCAAAUUUUUAAACAAAUUUGCGAAAGCAUAGCUCAAAUGAAACAUCUCAAUUCUCAGCAUCUGAAAGUGAUUAUAAAAUUAGCUUUUAAAAUGAAUGGGUCUGGGAAAAGGAAAUAUAGCGAAGCGGAACUCCUAAAUGUUUUGGAUAAGAUGAAGAUAUAGUCUGAUUUUUCGCGAAAGCGAUCAAACUAAAUGAAAUUCUGACCCGCAUCAAUGGCGUAAUGACUUGGGAACUGUCUCAACGGAGAGCUCGGUGAAAUUGCAAUGACGGUAAAGAUGCCGUCGACCUGCAGCAAGACGAAAAGACCCCGUGGAGCUUUACUACAACUUGGCAUUGAUUUAGAAUUUUAGUUGUCGAGCUUAGGUGGGAGACUAUGAAAUCUGGACGCUAGUCCAGAUGGAGUCAACAGUGGAAUACCACCCUGCUGAAGUUUUAAGUCUAACCCUGGACUGUUAUGAGGAACAAAAAUCUUUGUAUACAGUGAACCAGCAAAUGACAAAACUAAUUGCAUAAGUUGUAAAUAAAGAUCUAAUUGUUCGUAAGAAUGAUUGGAUUUAUUAGUAUUGUCUUUUGCGGUUCACAAAAAAAAUGUAUACAUCGUUUUUAGUUAUUCAUACCAGUCCGGGAACAGUGCCUGGCGGGUAGUUUGACUGGGGCGGUCGCCUCCUAAAUGGCAACGGAGGCGUUUACAAAGGUUGGUUAGGUCCGGAUGGAAAUCGGACUGAUAGUGCAAAAGCAUAAACCAGCUUUACUGAGAGACCCAUCAGUCGAUCAGUUACGAAAGUAGAAUUUAGUGAACCGACUAUCGCUUAUAGGAGCGUAGAAGAUCAUCAGAUAAAAGUUACCCCGGGGAUAACAGGCUGAUCCCUUCCAAGAGUCCAUAUCGACGAAGGGGUUUGGCACCUCGAUGUCGGCUCAUCGCAUCCUGGGGCUGGAGAAGGUCCCAAGGGUAUGGCUGUUCGCCAUUUAAAGCGGUACGCGAGCUGGGUUCAAACCGUAAAGCACCUUUUAGCUUUGGCUAAAGGAUAUUUUACAGUUUGAACCCGAGGUAAGAAGACAUCAUACACGGCGGCGUAUAUGAGAAAUCGUAUAUGAGAAAUCAACUAUAUCGGUGGAAUCCUCUUGUGACAUAACCUGUCAUAUGUUAGGAUAAUGCCGAGGGAAGUUGUAUGUGUAAAAAUUUUUCGUCAACAAUUAGCGCGUAUUUAGCAGGAUUCCUUGAUGGUGAUGGAAGUAUUUAUGUGAGGCUAAAACCAAAUUCUACCUAUCGGUAUGGAUUUCAGGUUGCUCCUUAUAUUGUUUUAUUUCAAUCAAAUCAAGAUAGGGAAAAUUUUGAGAAAAUUUGUUCAAUUGUGGGAUUAGGGAUUCUUCGUGAAAGAAAAGAUGGAAUUCUGGAAUAUUCUAUAAAUAGAGCAGAUAAUCUGAGAUUGUUUCUUGCAUCAGUUAAACCGUUUCUUAUAUUAAAAAAGAAACAGGCAGAGUUGAUGUUGAAAAUUCUAGCUAAAAAAGAAAAAGUUCAAAAUCAUAAAGAUUUUGAAGAACUUGCGCAAUUAGUUGAUAGUUUUAGAGAUUUAAAUUAUUCUAAAAAGAGAAAAAUUCGCGUAUUAACCCCGUAGAGACUACACGUUGAUCAUCCUUAAUUAAACAAGGGGAUGAAGAUAUAGUCCAAUGCACUUAGUAAUAAGUGGUAACAUGCGUGAGACAGGUUGGUCUCCUAUCUGCUGUGGGCGUUGUUGCUUGAAAAGAGUCUUUCCUAGUACGAGAGGACCGGAAAGAACAAACCUCUGGUGUAUCAGCUGUUCCGCCAGGAGCACUGCUGAGUAGCUACGUUUGGAAAGGAUAACCGCUGAAAGCAUAUAAGCGGGAAGCCUCCUUUAAGAUAAGGCAACUGUUGGAGCUUGCUCCAAUAUAAUUUCCUAGAAGAUGACUAGGUUGAUAGGUCUCAGAUGUAAGUGCAGUAAUGCAUUAAGUCGAGAGAUACUAAUAAAUUAAAAUUACACUCUU